rnacentral:rRNA from 1 species
ACGCUCGACACCUACGGGAGGAGCAGUGAGGAAUAUUGGUCAAUGGGCGCAGGCCUGAACCAGCCAAGUAGCGUGAAGGAUGACUGCCCUAUGGGUUGUAAACUUCUUUUAUAUGGGAAUAAAGUUUUCCACGUGUGGAAUUUUGUAUGUACCAUAUGAAUAAGGAUCGGCUAACUCCGUGCCAGCACGCCGGACGGUAACUUCGUGGAGGCGGGCGUGGACGAAGGC